rnacentral:rRNA from 1 species
AACGAACGCUGGCGGCAUGCCUAACACAUGCAAGUCGAACGAGACCUUCGGGUCUAGUGGCGCACGGGUGCGUAACGCGUGGGAACCUGCCCUUAGGUUCGGAAUAACUCCCCGUAAGGGGUGCUAAUACCGGAUAAUGUCUUAGGACCAAAGAUUUCUCGCCUUUGGAUGGGCCCGCGUUAGAUUCGCUAGUUGGUAGGGUACAAGCCUACCAAGGCGACGAUCCAUAGCUGGUCUGGGAGGAGGAUAAGCAAGGCUUGGACUGAGACACGGCCCAGACUGCUACGGGAGGCAGCAGUGUGGAAUAUUGUGCGAUGAGCGAUAGCCUGAUCCAGCAAUGCCGCGUAUGUGAUGAAGGCCGUAGGAUUGUAAAGCUCUUUUACCCGGGAUGAUAGUGACGGUACCGGGAGAAUAAGCUCCGGCUAACUCCGUG